rnacentral:misc_RNA from 1 species
GGCAGCACUAUAAAGUUGGGCAUUGUACUCACUGCUACAAGUAGACACCGUCGUUUAUAUGACUAGAAAAUUGUUGAAAAACACGUUAACCCGAACACAAACAAACAAACAGUCGAAUAUCAGAAACUUAUAAAGUUAGUGUAAAAUUUACAACUUAAUCGGCUUUUUUAUAAAACAUAUAACAUAAGCAGUUUUUCUUCUGACGUGCCUUAUAUAACCAGAAGGCAAUAUUAAUGUCCCUCAUCGAUAAUAAAUGGGAUGUGGGCACUUGAAACAGUUGAAAUGAGAAACUCCCGUUAUGUGGAACAUCACAAAUUUUAUCAUUCCAACUGGCCUACUUUAUCAGUUAUAACAGGUACAUAAUUAAGACUGUUCUAUUUUUUAGCAAGCAAUGUACCAUCUGAAACGUUGUGUGAUUAAACUCGUGUUAAGACCGUAAAGCGAAAAUACGAUAUGUUAUGAUUCGACAAUGAAAUAUUUGUCACGAUAUUAUGUAAAUAAGACAGGUUAAAUGAAACGGAUUUAAUCAACACCAAACUUAACUGAGCCAGCAUGAGAUAAAUAAGGACCAAUACGGGAUUGAUUCUAAGAUGGCAGGGGAGCGGUUAAUUAUUUGCUAGAUUUUAAGCAAGUUAGCAUUAUUUUUGACCCAUGUGGUCACCUUUAUAAGUAGACAGUACAGCCUACCCUAAACCCCUCUUAAAAUGAAAAAAAAAUCUGAGCAGUUUUUCCUUCCAUCCAACAGAUGCCAUACACUCGUUUGUGUACUUUCAUACAAUGAUACCACGUACGUUUUCAUAAAAAUCAAUCCUUGGGGUGCAAAGCUUGCUAAGCACAGUGUCUGUUAAUCACCAAGUUUCAGGGAAAAAAAGCAGGUCAAAACCUCUGUCCGUUUUGCUGUAGAAAACAACUGAUUCGUUCAAAUUUGUCUCUCACAAAAUUCAUAUUUGCAUCUGCUAUUUACAGUUAUAAAGCUCUUGUUUAUUACAGUGUCACCCCUAUAGGAAGGGCCAGCCAAUUUGGCUUAUGAGACACCUUUAUUGUGCGUACCAAUUACCUCCCAACUUCUACCACCAUGCCAGGCGCCAGGGGGAUAGAAGUCGGUAACCAUUAAUUUAACUAACUCGUGGCUCACGAACCGGCCUUUUCGGAUCGAGUCCAAUGCCAAACAUCACCCGGACGAACGCUCCCCAUGAGGCUCGAACCUUCGAACUCCCGAUCCAGAGGCGCCUUGACCACUGGGCCACGGUGUCCGUUUUGCUGUAGAAAACACCUGAUACGUUCAAAUCUGCCUCUCACAAAAUUUAUAUUUGCAUCUGCUAUUUACAUUUAUAUGCAUGUUCACAUUGACUUCUUUAAGAAUAAACUUUUAAUUUUCACUGUUUGCCUUGUUCUCGGUGCUUCCGAGGGAUCUACUUUUCAGAUUUAUUUUUCAACGAUUAAAACAUAAAUAUUAAUACUCUUUGAACAAAGCUAUACUAAAUGUAUGAAAAAUCGACCGGGCCAUAAUUCAAAACUGCCACCCUGCUACCUAACAAGUGGUUAUUUCCGUUUGAUUUUUUAAUGAUGCCAUUUGGUUUUACAUUUUUGAAUGAUAAGAUUUACAUUAGUUUCCGCUUUUUUGACAAAUAUAUCAAUAACAGAUUCGUGUACUUACCUAUGGACAAGAAAGAAUGAUUAAAAUUUUUCCCUUUAAAUUAUCGGAUCCCUUGACAAAUUUAAAUAUUAAAUAAUUACAAACCUAUAUCAUUACCCGAUAUUUUUGUUGAUAACAGCUUUUUAGCUGUAGAAAAUCAUUGUGAUGUCACAUUUAAAAUCUUACCAUAAGCACCUGUGCUUUUAAGUAUUACACUAAUCUACCACGUAAUAUAUUAACGGAGAGCACUGCCUGUCAAUCAUUCUGUUAUUUGAUUUCAGAUUAACCUCACGUCGGGACUGUCUCGUUGACGCUAUAUACCUAUGCUUUCAAAGACUUCAUGCAAUAGCCUGCAUGUGGAAAAUCCAGACCAAGAUCCAGGGCAGGGCCGAGGGGGCCGUGUCCCCAAGUCGACUGUUGAUCGAGGCAUUUCUCCAUGAAACAUUGACUUCAAUACCAAACAAGUGGUCGGGAAUAGAAACACCGAUAAGGUGUAUCUUUUUGUUACGAUUGUCUAAUGCCAAUGUCAAAGGUAUUAAACCUUUGAAUCAUCUGUGUCGAGAAUAAAGCAGUUACCUGGAGAGGAAAAAAAGAUAAUACUGUCACAGGCGGACACCUGGUUAAGUAGACGAACGGGCCUUCCGUAAGUCAGCUGGACGGCUUCCUAUUAUCAAAUAAUUCUACACCCUAAGCACAGCGAUGACGACCAAGUAUUCGACGUCAGCGACCUUCGCCAGUUGGCCAAGGAGGACCCUUGUAUUUAUUUCGUUGACAAUCGUGUCUGUAUACAAUAUUCAUGUAAAACAUGUAUCUAAAAUGUAUCAUUAGUGAUCACACAAAUUAAUUGAUUUAUAUGAUUGCAUAAACUUCAACUGAAAAGUAUUGAUUUUUUUAAGAAUUAUAUUUUUGAUAUUUCGUAAACAUUAUCAUCUGUUUUAAUCGUUACGAAAAGAUCAUGGAAAGUUUCUAGAAUACAUUUUAACCUGUUUUUACCAACUGUAUAACGGAUCUAAAACCUUGAAACUGAUGUUAUCAUGUUUAUCUAGGGUGGUACUUUUAAUAUUUCUAUUUCUAAUUUUUAUUCCCUUAACUUUUUGUAAAGGGUUAUGACUGGAGGCACUUUAGUCUAACUAACAGAGUAUAUGAUAGCUACAAGAAAGUUGAACUGACGGAUUUAGAAAAAAAGGGAACCUUGUGCGAAGUCGUAUAUCUUUGUUUAUAAACCCCCAGAUUGGUUCUUGACAUGCUCGUUGCAGAACACCGAUACGUAUGCAAGUACUUUUUUUCUUUGAGUAACACCAAACAAUAAUGUGUGCCCCUGUUUACUGCCACUUUAUGGCCAUAUGUUACUUGUAGACGACGCAAGACUAAGUUAAUUUUUGUAAUUACCUUAGGGUCAGGGUCCCAGCCAGAUUGAAGAAACUGAAAAGGAAAACACAGAUGGGGAAGGUAAGGUCCCAAAUAAAACCUCUGCUGCAAAACUUCCCAUGCUAAAUAAUUUUCAUUUAAGGUUUCAUAACCUUUAAAAUUUCUUGGAACAAAAUACCAUUUUAAUGGUGUUCCUAUAAUUUGAUCUAUUAGUCAUUUGAAAACGCGAAUCUUAACUAUAUACCCAGUUAAUAUUUGAGGACAAAACAAUCUGAAUGGUGGCAGCUUUGGACACUUUUGGGGCUAAAUAUUUUUGUUUAUAUAUUUAUCAUAAUAGGACAGCAUUCUAAACUUUAACUUUAACUUGAUAACCAGUCUUUAAAUUUCGUAGAUUUAUAUCUAUGAACGUUUUCCUUUACUUGAAGAAUGCAUUUAGUUUAGAAAAAAGCAGUUGUUUUAUAAACCGUAAGCCUUCCCACCCAGUUUAGACAUGUUCUGUCAUUUGGUUAAGAAUAUACAGGUUAAAGCAUUUGUUUGACUGGCAACAACUAGUCGAACAAAUUUGUCGCGAUCCCAAGGGUGGAUACAGGUUUUGGUGUUAGGAGGGGACGCAAUAUAUUUGUAGUAGAGCAAGUAGAGGGGUCCGGGGACAUGCGCCCACCAACCCCCGGAAAAUUUUGAAAACAAUGCAUUCAUCUGGUGCAUUCUGGGCGUUCUGAGGUACUUUAUUUGGUAUUGAAAAAGGACAGGUUUUGUGACAAAAUCAACCCAAAUAACAUGCUAAUUAUAGUCCAUGUUUUAUGACUUUUCAGACUUAUUCUUGCGUAAGUAUCUCGGAAAGGAAUUUCUUAGUCUUCUGAGGAUUUUUAUGGGGAGGGGUUAAGGGCUAUUAACACAGAAAUGGUAAAGAGCGUUAUAGGAGCUCAUGCAAACUUUUGUUGAUUUAACCUACAUAUGUACCGUACACGAUUAACGUUUACCGUGCCUACAAGCGAUAAAACCAAUAACUUUACAUGUUAAUCCUCCAUUGUUUUGGUCCUUCGAAGUUUUGAUAUUUAGAUUGCCCCGUCACAAAUAUAAAACAAUCUGAACGUCGAAUUAUUUUGACUAGCGCAACAACAGACAUGACGACAGGCAACGUACAACUGACACUGGGUGAUUACAAAUACGUUAUAAUCAAGUGUGAUAUAAAAGUAAACAUAAGGGUAAAAGAGUACUAUGCCCCAACGAUAACUUGAUAUUUACAAACAUGACUAUAAAUAGAUUAAAAUGGAACAUAGGGAAUUCAGCAUUUUUCUAACAUGUUA